rnacentral:rRNA from 1 species
UACGUAGGGGGCAAGCGUUGUCCGGAAUCAUUGGGCGUAAAGAGCGCGUAGGCGGCCCUGUAAGUCCGCUGUGAAAGUCAAGGGCUCAACCCUUGGAUGCCGGUGGAUACUGCAGGGCUAGAGUCCGGAAGAGGCGAGUGGAAUUCCUGGUGUAGCGGUGAAAUGCGCAGAUAUCGGGAGGAACACCUGAGGCGAAGGCGGGCUACUGGGCCGAUACUGACGCUGAGGCGCGAAAGCCAGGGGAGCAAACGGG